rnacentral:rRNA from 1 species
AUUGAACGCUGGCGGCAGGCCUAACACAUGCAAGUCGAGCGGAUGAAGGGAGUUUGCUCCUGGAUUCAGCGGCGGACGGGUGAGUAAUGCCUAGGAAUCUGCCUGGUAGUGGGGGAUAACGUCCGGAAACGGGCGCUAAUACCGCAUACGUCCUGAGGGAGAAAGUGGGGGAUCUUCGGACCUCACGCUAUCAGAUGAGCCUAGGUCGGAUUAGCUAGUUGGUGGGGUAAAGGCCUACCAAGGCGACGAUCCGUAACUGAUCUGAGAGGAUGAUCAGUCACACUGGAACUGAGACACGGUCCAGACUCCUACGGGAGGCAGCAGUGGGGAAUAUUGGACAAUGGGCGAAAGCCUGAUCCAGCCAUGCCGCGUGUGUGAAGAAGGUCUUCGGAUUGUAAAGCACUUUAAGUUGGGAGGAAGGGCAGUAAGUUAAUACCUUGCUGUUUUGACGUUACCAACAGAAUAAGCACCGGCUAACUUCGUG